GUGCUUAUGCUUCUCCUCAUUUCAUGCCAUGAUAGGUUGAUGAUGUUAGAAGAAGAGCAGAUUUCCUUUCGUUCGGACUCUGCUAUGUUUGACAGCAUUGAAGACUACUCACAUCAAAUAGCAGAAAUGAUUGGACUACGGAAUGAAUCAAACUUUGCACAAGCUGGAGUAAGUGGAUUCUAAUUGUUAGACCUGGUUUCUGGUUGUACUUUCAGAAUGAAUCGAACUUUGCACAAGCUGGAGUAAGUGGAUUCUAAUUGUUAGACCUGGUUUCUGGUUGUACUUUCACUUGUGCUCCAGUGUUCAUCCUUGUAUUCGGAAUUCCUCUUAUAUAUGCUAAAAUUCCUUCAACAAGUGAACAAUGAUUUCCACUGGUUUGCUUGCUAUAUACAUAUCUAGAUAGUACAGCUACAUUAUUUCCAGAUAUUUUUGCUGUAGUUCGUUAAGAAAGCUUCUAUAACAUCCAGGAAAUUUUUCAUUGUGUAGUUAUCAAAUUCUUUUUUAUUUCUCUCCAUCGUUUGUUCUCGUUGAAUUUUUGUUUAAAUUUCUCUUCGGCCCUUGAAGGACUGCUUUCUAUCAGAUUUGGAAAUAUUAGUUCUUUUUAGCCCCAGUUUCUCCUUUUUGUCUGGUGCCAUUAAAGUUGCACCAAACUCUGACUACUGGAUAAUCCUGCUUCCUUUUCAGGUCCGAACUAUCUUGGAUAUCGGAUGUGGUUAUGGCAGUUUUGGGGCACAUCUCUUUUCUAGUCAACUAUUGACCAUGUGUGUUGCAAACUAUGAAGCUUCGGGCAGUCA
rnacentral:lncRNA from 1 species